GAUGAAGAACGUAGCAAAAUGCGAUAAGUAGUGUGAAUUGCAGAAUUCAGUGAAUCAUCGAAUCUUUGAACGCACAUUGCGCCCCUUGGUAUUCCAUGGGGCAUGCCUGUUCGAGCGUCAUUUGUACCUUCAAGCUUUGCUUGGUGUUGGGUGUUUGUCCUGAGGGACUCGCCUUAAAGUAAUUGGCAGCCAGUGUUUUGGUUUUGAAGCGCAGCACAAGUCGCGAUUCAAAGCUAUACGCCAGCUUCCACAAGCCUUUUUCACUUUUGACCUCGGAUCAGGUAGGGAUACCCGCUGAACUUAAGCAUAUCAAUAAGCGGAGGA
rnacentral:misc_RNA from 1 species